rnacentral:rRNA from 1 species
GACGAACGCUGGCGGCGUGCUUAACACAUGCAAGUCGAACGGAAGGGCCCUGCUUUUGUGGGGUGCUCGAGUGGCGAACGGGUGAGUAACACGUGAGUAACCUGCCCUUGACUUUGGGAUAACUUCAGGAAACUGGGGCUAAUACCGGAUAGGAGCUCCUGCUGCAUGGUGGGGGUUGGAAAGUUUCGGCGGUUGGGGAUGGACUCGCGGCUUAUCAGCUUGUUGGUGGGGUAGUGGCUUACCAAGGCUUUGACGGGUAGCCGGCCUGAGGGGGUGACCGGCCACAUUGGGACUGAGAUACGGCCCAGACUCCUACGGGAGGCAGCAGUGGGGAAUAUUGCACAAUGGGCGGAAGCCUGAUGCAGCAACGCCGCGUGCGGGAUGACGGCCUUCGGGUUGUAAACCGCUUUCGCCUGUGACGAAGCGUGAGUGACGGUAAUGGGUAAAGAAGCACCGGCUAACUACGUG